GGAAAGGGAAGACUCUACAGAUGGUGCACCUGUGGACUUGAUCUCCCCCAGGGCAGGAUCGAGAGAGAUGAGGAAAAUGAAAGUCGUGAUACAUUUUAAAACCACUGCAAAUGUCAGAUUUGUAUAAUUGUUGCUAAUGAGAACCUCCUUUGCCAACCAUUCACAGGCUGCCGACAACCAAGGGCACCGGCAAGGGAUCCCUGAGUGGGGAGAAGGUGUAAGCAAAGACUACCAGAAGAUUCCAGAGUGGAAACAGGCAGAGAGAUGGAGCCAAG